GACGAACGCUGGCGGCGUGCCUAAUACAUGCCAGUCGAACGCUGAAGAGAGGAGCUUGCUCUUCUUGGAUGAGUUGCGAACGGGUGAGUAACGCGUAGGUAACCUGCCUGGUAGCGGGGGAUAACUAUUGGAAACGAUAGCUAAUACCGCAUAAAAUGGAUUAUCGCAUGAUAAUCCAUUGAAAGGUGCAAAUGCAUCACUACCAGAUGGACCUGCGUUGUAUUAGCUAGUUGGUGGGGUAACGGCUCACCAAGGCGACGAUACAUAGCCGACCUGAGAGGGUGAUCGGCCACACUGGGACUGAGACACGGCCCAGACUCCUACGGGAGGCAGCAGUAGGGAAUCUUCGGCAAUGGACGGAAGUCUGACCGAGCAACGCCGCGUGAGUGAAGAAGGUUUUCGGAUCGUAAAGCUCUGUUGUAAGAGAAGAACGAGGGUGAGAGUGGAAAGUUCACACUGUGACGGUAUCUUACCAGAAAGGGACGGCUAACUACGUG
rnacentral:rRNA from 1 species